rnacentral:lncRNA from 1 species
AUGGAUGAGGAUUUCAAUGUUGAAUAUUUUAAUCAAGUACCGAUUGUUUUACAAAUAGCUGUUGAUCAAUUAAGUGAUGAGGAUUUCAAUGUUGAAUAUUUUAAUCAAGUACCGAAUGCUUUACAAAUAGCUGUUGAUCAAUUAAGUGAAAUUCCAAUCUCCAUUCCAAUAAAUUUACAUUUUACAGAGCAAAAUGAAAACGUCCUAGAACUUGACACCUUACAACUCAUAAAUGAUGCCCUCGAAAACCUUAAUGCAGUUAAUGCAGUAGAGUUUGAAAAUCAUUCUCCUUCAUCAGCUCUCCACACGCAAAGUGAUCAUGUCUUACACGCGGUAACAAUCAGAUCAGAGACGGAUUCAGCAGAGACACAAGAAGGGGGGUCAGAGAGCAGCCCCUCAGCCCUUACACACAUGGCCCCCCCUAAACUUUCUCCUCAGCAAGGGGGAGGAGGGCUAGGAGAAAAUCCAUCCGAUCUCUCUCCUGAGCGGGGUGAGAGGUUUUUUAAUGAUUUUAUCACAUGGAGAACAAGACGCUCCUUUAACAUUCCCACUCGGGGAAAUGUGCCUGACAUUGCAACAUUCUAUCGAGAUGUAACAGGGGUUAUCAGCGAAUUGGUGGAUGUUGCCAGACGACAUAGUAGUCGCAAUGAUUUAAUACAGUUGGAGGUGGUGGGUGAAAACGUACACAAUCAUGUUACAGUUGCUGUGGAUGAACAAGGUGAAAAUAUUCUACCGGCUUUUAAUGGAAUGCUAGAUCGGAUUGUGCAGUCAAACGGUAUCAUUUCAUCGGAUGAGAAUAUAGAAUUCAUCCUUCACGUGGUGCAGAACCCAGGAGGAGGUGCCAAACGUAAGAUGGAGAAAACUCUAGACUGUGAAAUCAUUGACAAAAAAAGACGUCACUUAUUUAUCGUAGACAACAGAGACAACCAGCUUUGCUUCGCCAUCAGUCUAGCUCACGUUAUCUACCCGAAACUUACUGAAAGAGGAUGCCUUGAUAUUGCGAGGAAGUUGCAGCAUCAGGCUGGUUUAAAUGAUGAGACCCCCGUCACUUUCAGUGACAUUGGUAAAUUUGAAAAUAUUCUGGGGCGUAAAAUUGUUGUGUUUUACAGAACAUGCCACAGUAAACCCCUCUCACAUUAUGAGACAAAAUUCUCUGAUCGUUCCAAUCAGUUGUUUCUCUUUUUACUACAAAAUCACUAUUAUGGGAUAAAAAAUCUCAAAGCCUUCCUGGGGUCGUCAGUCUGUAAUUAUUGUUACAAGACUUUUAAGCACCCCUAUACCCACUUUUGUAAAGGUUACUGCGCAGUGUGCAACGAUCCUGCCUGCCCCACAGAAGGGUUCAACACAGUGGUUUGCUCUGACUGUAACAGAACGUGUCGCUCACCCUCUUGUUUCACCAGACACAAAUUGGUCGGUUCAAGCAGAAAGUCCAGCCUCUGCGACCAAAUCAAAAAAUGCGCACGAUGCGAACUAUACUACAGUGUCAAUUUGUCGUUAGACGAUGCAAAGCAUCGCUGUGCGGUGAAAAAAUGUAAAAUCUGUGGUGAAAAACUGCAGAGCGACUCUAAAGUCGAUCAUAGUUGUUACAUUCCUACCCUCCAACCAGACAUCUCACAUCCUGAUUUGGUUUUUUAUGAUUUUGAAACAUUUGUGGGUCAAAAUGGAGAGCAUGUUCCUUUUUUAGUGCAUACAAAAACAUCCAAAGGUGAAGAGAAGGCGUUUUAUGGUCUUGACUGUGCUAAAAUGUUUAUUUUGCAUUUCAGGAAGCCACGAUACAAACAGAACAUCUUUAUAGCCCAUAAUGCCAAGGGGUUUGACAGUUAUCUGGUGUUAAAAGGUAUGUUGGAACUGGAUGUGACGCCACAACAGAUUCUGAUGAACGGGAGUAAAAUCCUCAGUUUUGAGGAAUCCCAUUAUGGUCUCAAAUUCAUAGAUUCCCUGUCAUUUCUCCCCAUGCGUCUCAGCGCUAUGCCCAAAGCCUUAGGAUUCACUGACAAGACCAAGGGGUAUUUCCCACACAAAUUUAGCUCAGAAAUUCACCUCAAUUACGUGGGGCCCUAUCCCGUUCCGUCCGACUACGACGUAGAUCGCAUGACGGUGCGCGAACGGGAAGAAUUUGACCCGUGGUACAACGAGGUCAGCCGCGGUACCUUUGACUUCAAAAAGGAGGCCUCGCUGUACUGCAAAAAUGAUGUUGACAUUCUCACCCAGGGCAGUCUUAAAUUUAGAGAUCAGUUCCUAGGUGAGACGGGGGUAGACCCUUUUGGUUCUAUCGCCAUAGCCGGAGCCUGUAUGAAGGUGUUUCGCACCAAUUAUCUGACUCCUAACACUCUGGCUAUCCCCUGCCCGCACAACUAUUUGAAUCAGAGCAAAAGAUUCUCUAGCGCAUCGGUUCAAUGGUUAGAAUGGUUGAUGCACAAAGAAAAAAUCUUUAUACAGCAUGCUCUAAACAUGGGUGAAAAACAGAUUGGUGCAUUUUUCGUAGACGGAUAUGCUGAGAUUGACGGUGUAAAACAUGUCUGGGAAUUUCAUGGAUGUUUUUACCACGGCUGUCCCAGUUGCUUUGAUCCCACAGUACAGUGCGAUAUGAGAGGCGUCACCUUUGGUGAACUGCACUACAAAAGUGAGAAGAGGGUGAGUGAGCUACAGACCACACAUGGGGUUCGUGUUGUAGUCAUGAGAGAACACACGUGGAACCAGAUGAAAACAACAUGCACGGAGGUUAAAGAAUUUCUCCGUUGCUUUAACGCUCCUGAGCCUCUCAACCCCCGAAAAGCACUUUUCGGAGGUAGAACGAGCGCUUUAAAACUGCGACACACGGCAGCGCCCGAUGAAACCAUCCACUAUGUUGAUGUCACCUCACUGUACCCGUUUGUCAACAGUACUUGCUCUUACCCCUUUGGUCACCCCGUGAUCAUCUACAAAGAUUUCGAGGACCCACGCAGCUACUACGGCUUCAUCAGAGCCACUGUGUAUCCUCCUCGAGGUCUUUUAUUCCCCGUGUUACCGCACAAAAGUGAGGGAGGUAAAUUACUCUUUACACUGUGUCGCACCUGUGCCGAAACUAACAAUGAGGGUGGCCCCUGCGAACACGACGAUGAGGGCAGAGCUCUGACGGGGGUCUGGGUCACCGUUGAAUUCAUCAAAGCUCUGGAUGUGGGGUAGCCACUGUGUAUCCUCCUCGAGGUCUUUUAUUCCCCGUGUUACCGCACAAAAGUGAGGGAGGUAAAUUACUCUUUACACUGUGUCGCACCUGUGCCGAAACUAACAAUGAGGGUGGCCCCUGCGAACACGACGAUGAGGGCAGAGCUCUGACGGGGGUCUGGGUCACCGUUGAAUUCAUCAAAGCUCUGGAUGUGGGGUACAGGGUGGGUAAAAUUACAGAAGUCUGGCACUUUGACAAGAGCAGCGACACUGUGUUUACCGACUACAUACACACCUUUUUGAAAGGAAAGCAGGAAGCCUCGGGUUACCCCGCUGAGGCGACGGACCGAGAGAGCAGGGAAAAAUACAUCAGGGACUAUCAGGAGCAUCAGGGCAUUCUUUUAGAUGCUGGCAAAAUCGAGACCAAUCCUGUGAAAAGACAGGUUGCUAAAUUGUGUCUCAACAGUUUGUGGGGAAAGUUUGCACAGAGAGAUAAUUUGUUUAAAACCACCAUUGUCUCAGAUCCUAAAGAAUUCUUUAGUUACAUGUUUUCAGGUAAAUACAAAGUCGAAUACUUUUCCGUUCUCCACAGCAACAGAGCUCUCAUCAGGUGGAAAUACACCGACAGGUACGUUCAACCCCCAGGUAAACAGAGUAAUGUUUUUAUUGCAGCAUUCACCACAGCACACGCACGACUGAAGCUGUACAGUUAUCUGGAAAAACUACAAGACAGAGUGUUUUACAUCGACACAGAUAGUUUAAUCUAUCUGGUCAAAGAGGGUGAGAAACCUCUAGAGCUGGGUAACUAUUUAGGUGACCUGACGGAUGAACUGGAUGGUGACAGCAUUCAAGAGUUUGCAGCGGCGGGUCCCAAGAGUUACGCGUACCAAACACGAAAUAAAAAGAAAGUCGUCAUGCGUGUGAAAGGUAUCACUCAGACCCGGGAAUUUUGUGAGCGUGUGAGCUUUGACAGUGUCAGAGAGCUGGUGGAGGGUUACCUGAGUAAUAAACAAGAGGGAAACACGAUCGAGAUCCGUCAACACAGCAUCAGACGUGAUAAAAAGGGUUUCGCAUUGAGAAAUGUGUCAUUUGAUAAAAAAAUUAGGGUGGUGUAUGACAAAAGACGACUCUUUGCUGACGGAACAACUCUGCCUUUCGGGUAUUAGAAAUGCAGGAAAUUGAAUUUGAUCCUAGGUUUAUCUUUCCUUUUUCUUGUUUAAUCGCGGGUCCGAGCGGGUGUGGAAAGACCUAUUUUGUAAAAAAUGUAUUGGAAAACUGUGACCGUGUAAUAAAUGUUGUACCUGACAAUAUCGUGUGGAUUUAUACCUCUUUUCAACCUAUGUACGCUGAACUGCAAAAGAUGAUUAAAAACAUUAAAUUUG